AACCUGCCCCAGGCUUUGGGAUAACCCCGGGAAACCGGGGCUAAUACCGAAUAUGACCUCUGACCGCAUGGUUGGUGGUGGAAAGUUUUUCGGCUUGGGAUGGGCUCGCGGCCUAUCAGCUUGUUGGUGGGGUGAUGGCCUACCAAGGCGACGACGGGUAGCCGGCCUGAGAGGGCGACCGGCCACACUGGGACUGAGACACGGCCCAGACUCCUACGGGAGGCAGCAGUGGGGAAUAUUGCACAAUGGGCGGAAGCCUGAUGCAGCGACGCCGCGUGAGGGAUGACGGCCUUCGGGUUGUAAACCUCUUUCAGCAGGGACGAAGCGUAAGUGACGGUACCUGCAGAAGAAGCGCCGGCCAACUACGUGCCAGCAGCCGCGGUAAGACGUAGGGCGCGAGCGUUGUCCGGAUUUAUUGGGCGUAAAGAGCUCGUAGGCGGCUUGUCGCGUCGACCGUGAAAACUUGGGGCUCAACCCCAAGCCUGCGGUCGAUACGGGCAGGCUAGAGUUCGGUAGGGGAGACUGGAAUUCCUGGUGUAGCGGUGAAAUGCGCAGAUAUCAGGAGGAACACCGGUGGCGAAGGCGGGUCUCUGGGCCGAUACUGACGCUGAGGAGCGAAAGCGUGGGGAGCGAACAGGAU
rnacentral:rRNA from 1 species